UACAGAGGGUGCAAGCGUUGUUCGGAAUUAUUGGGCGUAAAGCGCGUGUAGGCGGCUUUGCAAGUCGGGGGUGAAAGCCCGAGGCUCAACCUCGGAACUGCCUUCGAUACUGCGGGUCUCGAGUCCGGGAGAGGUGAGUGGAAUUCCUAGUGUAGAGGUGAAAUUCGUAGAUAUUAGGAAAGAACAACCCAGUGGCGAAAGGCGGGC
rnacentral:rRNA from 1 species